rnacentral:rRNA from 1 species
AUUGAACGCUGGCGGAAUGCUUUACACAUGCAAGUCGAACGGCAGCACGGACUUCGGUCUGGUGGCGAGUGGCGAACGGGUGAGUAAUGUAUCGGAACGUGCCCAGUCGUGGGGGAUAACGUAGUGAAAAUUACGCUAAUACCGCAUACGAUCUAUGGAUGAAAGCGGGGGAUCGCAAGACCUCGCGCGAUUGGAGCGGCCGACAUCAGAUUAGGUAGUUGGUGGGGUAAAGGCCCACCAAGCCAACGAUCUGUAGCUGGUCUGAGAGGACGACCAGACACACGGGAACUGAGACACGGUCCAGACUCCUACGGGAGGCAGCAGUGGGGAAUUUUGGACAAUGGGCGAAAGCCUGAUCCAGCCAUUCCGCGUGCAGGAUGAAGGCCCUCGGGUUGUAAACUGCUUUUGUACAGAACGAAAAGGUUUCUACUAAUACUAGGAGCUCAUGACGGUACUGUAAGAAUAAGCACCGGCUAACUACGUGCCAGCCGCCGCAGUAA